rnacentral:rRNA from 1 species
UACUAUUAUAAUUUAUAAAUUAUUAAACUUAGGUAGUAAUAGAUAUGGUCUUGAAACUUAAAUAAUUUGGCGGUAUUUUAGUCUAUUUAGAGGAAUUUGUCCCAUUAUCGAUAAUCCACGUUGAACCUAACUUUAAUUUAAAUAUUUGUAUAUCGCCGUUUUGAAAAUCUUUUUAGAGUUAAAUUUCUUUAUAUUUAUUAAAUUAAAUUUCAGGUCAAGGUGCAGUAUAUAUUAAAGUGGAGAUGAAUUACAAUGUAAGAAUACAUAAUGAAUUAUAAACUGAAAUUUUUAUAUGAAGGUGGAUUUAAUAGUAAUAUUAUAAAGAUUAUUAAUAUGAUUAAUUAGCUCUAAAAUAUGUACAUAUCGCCCGUCACUCUCGUUUAUAAUAUGAG